GAUGAACGCUGGCGGCGUGCCUAAUACAUGCAAGUCGAGCGAACAGACGAGGAGCUUGUUCGGUUGACGUUAGGGGCGGGGGGGUGAGUCACACGUGGAUAACCUACCUAUCAGUCUGGGAUAACUACGGGAAACCGGCGCUUAUACCGGAUAAUAUCUUGAACCGCAGGGUUCAAUAGUGAAAGUCGGUUUUGCUGUCACUUAUCGAUGGAUCCGAGCCGCAUUAGCUAGUUGUUAAGGUCACGGCUUACCAAGGCAAGGAUGCGUAGGCGACGUGAGAGGGUGAUAGGCGGCACGAGAGCUGAGACACGGUCCAGAGGACUGCGGGACGCAGCAGAAGGGUAUGGUCCGCAGUGGGCGAGAGUAUGACGGAGUGACGCGGCGUGAGUGAUGAAAGUGUUCGGAUCGUAAUGCUCGGUUAUUAGUGAAAAACAGAUGUGUAAGUAGCUGUGCACGGCUUGACGGUAACUGAUCAAAAAGCCACGGCUAACUACGUG
rnacentral:rRNA from 1 species